rnacentral:tRNA from 1 species
GAGAGAGUCUGAAAAAUAAAAACUGCUAAUUUUUAUAACCGCAGUUAAAAUCUGCGGCUCACUCG